rnacentral:rRNA from 1 species
UACAGAGGCCUCGAGCGUUAGGCGGAAUCACUGGGCUUAAAGCGUGUGUAGGCGGACUUCUAAGUGCCUUGUGAAAUCCCACGGCUCACCCGUGGAACUGCUGGGCAUACUGGGAGUCUUGAGCCACCUAGGGGCGAGCGGAACAAAUGGUGGAGCGGUGAAAUGCGUAGAUAUCACUUGGAACGCCAACGGAGAAAUCAGCUCGCUGGGGGUGUGCUGACGCUGAGACACGAAAGCCAGGGGAGCGAACGGG